AGAUUUAACGGAUGAGGAGUCGUCGAAGCGCACAAAAGUUGUUUAGGAUGGAAAGGUAUGCAAUUUUGAAACGACAUUGGAUCAUUGAAUGGGAACCCGGGGUAUGGGGUGAGGGUUAAAUCACUUAAAUUAUGAAAAAGGGCAGGAGAAUCAGCAUCAAAAAUUUGCAUAAUUAGCUGUUCAGAUUUUAAAUAUGAUCUAAUAUAUAGAGAGUAAUUUUUUAAAAAAUACUUGACCGCAUGGCAGUUUUGUGCACAUUCAAAAUCUUUACCAUGCAGAGAAGUGAAAAUACUUGAAUGUUCACUUCAUAGGUAAAUUUUAUAUUGUAAAUAUAAGAUUAUAUGAAUAUAAUGGCUUAUCGAAAGUUUUCUGGCUUGUUGAAUGAUUAUUGAUUCCAAAAUUCAAAAAAGUGUAUCACAACAAUUAAAUUAUAUAUACAGUGUCGGUCAGUAAAAGAUACUUUAAUUGUUCUCUCUAUAUAUAUAGGUGUAAAUUAAAGAACAUAACGCACCUGUUAACCAGGCUGAAAGUGCGGAUAAAUUAUACAUGCAGGCUAUAUAUUUGUAUAUACCAAGAAUGCCCGUGUUUGUCAGAUUUGUUGUAGAUCCUUCUGCAUACGCGAACAUGCAUAUAUUUUGCUAAUCUAAAUUAUAUUCAUCCAAAAGAUCAGUGCUAAAGUUUAUUAUCAAUAUAUGCCGUUGCAAAAUUUAUAUAAUUUAUAUAUGCAUAUUCAACUUGUAUAUAUCAAAUGAAUUUUUUGUUGCAAAUCUAUAACACGCGACUUAUAUUAUAGAGCUGUAUAAAAUGUGUUUUUAAUUUGCAAAUUUUUGUAACUUGUGUAGCCUAUAUGUCGAGUCACAUAAUAAUACAGUUAGGGCAUAUAAUAUAGCAUGCGAUAUUUACGUGC